UUUAAGUGAAGUGUUUGAUUGUUUAAGAGCGUUAUCUGUUCUGCAAUAUAUAGUUUUGUUUGGUAAUACUUUGUGAUGAAAGGGGCUGUUGAAGAGGGGAAGUAACAGGGAUAGUGUAUUUUGUGUGAAGUGAACCCAUUGCCAGCACACACACGAGAGACCAUGGCACUCUCGUGAGAGGAACAAAAGGAGGAAAAUUUUAUAGCCUGUGCCUUACCCUACGCACUUCCUCUUUCUUAUCCUACACCAUCCAUUAUCCAAGUCCACUCACCAGUAUCACCAAUUUCCAAGGGGACCCCCACCCUUCCCCUGCAAUUUUGAAUUCCUUCUUUUGUUCAGUUAAAUAAUAACAAACGUCUGAUGACAAUAAACGUUAAAUGCACGUCGAGGCAGUUUCAGCGAGUUUCUCUCACCCAUUACUCCAAAUGUUGUUUGCCCCCUCUUUGUUCUUCUUGGCGUGUCCUGAUCUGGUUGGAUUUGGGUAUUAUUUGAUGAGAAAAGCAUACCCACUUGCUUUUCUCGGGUUUGAUUGUCAAAUUCGUUCUCCAACAGAUCUUAGCUUCAGUAAAGAUCAGAUUUACUGCGCGGAAAAGGAUCUCCUUUAUAGAUAAGUUGGCGCGGUUCAUUUAUUCCGCUGAACGCGGGGCACAUGAUUGCCAAGGCUGCUGAAUCUAGUUUGCUGAAUUUUAUUUUUUUUUAUCAAUGUGGUCUACUUGGGAUAGAUAGGGUGGAUGGAUGUAUGUAAAUCAGAGCAAGCAUCGAGGAAACACAAAGCUGCGGAGACCCCAAGACCACUUUUGGUUCUGGCAGAAAAGAACAAUGCAGUCACCACCACCGGGCGCUCUGGAACAAGGGAAGUUAGUUCUCGGUACAAGUCACCUACUCCUGCAAGCCCAUCUGGUUCUCGUAGAUGCCCUUCUCCAAACCUCACAAGAACAACAACGCCUGCUUCAUCCUCCCAGUUGUUACCGAAGAGGUCUCUCUCUGCAGAAAGAAAGAGACCUUCAACUCCUCCUUCCCCACCAACACCAAGACCUUCCACCCCUGUCAAUAAUUCAUCUGUAGAUGGGAAGUUGUCAAAAAGGGUAUCAGGUAGCCGAUUGCCGGAUAGUCUAUGGCCUUCCACAAUGCGAAGUUUGAGUGUUUCUUUCCAGUCAGAUACCAUUUCCAUACCUGUUAGUAAGAAAGAGAAGCCAGUUGCUAGUGCUUCUGAUCGUACUCUGCGACCAGCUUCAAAUGUGGCACACAAGCAGGCUGAAACUCCAACCGUAAGAAAGCCUACUCCAGAGAGAAAAUGUAGUCCCCUUAAUGGGAAGAAUGCUUCUGCUCAGUCUGAGAAUUCAAAACCAGCUGACAGCAGCUUGCCUUCUCGGUUAAUUGACCAGCAUCGAUGGCCGGGUAGGAUAGGCGGGAAGGUAUCUUCUAGUGCAUUAAACAGAAGUGUUGAUUGUGGUGAUACCAGAACGUUGAAUACUUCUGUUUCAGGAACUGUUUUUUCUUCACAGAGAAGAUUGUCUAGAUCAGAUGAAUCAAGUAAACCCUUGCAAAGGGCUUCUAGUGAUGCUGUAAGGCUAUUACCACUUAUUGGAAGUGGCAGAAUAGGAAGUGAGGCUAAAUCAGUUGAUGAUUGUUCGCUACACAAAUUAAGACCUCACAAAUUUGUGGCUACAAGUCCGACAAAUAAAGCUGGAUUUGCCAGUGCUGGAGUCAGAUCUCAGUCCUCGUCAGCUCCAGGAUCACGUCUACCCUCACCUAGUAGGACCUCACUAUCCUCUUCUAGUUCAAGAGGUGUCAGUCCAUCUAGGUCAAGGCCAUCAACUCCACCUUCUAGAGGGAUUAGUCCAUCUCGAAUAAGGUCAACCAAUUCAUCCAUUCAAUCCAACAAUUCAACUUCAGUGCUCAGCUUUAUUGCUGAUUUUAAAAAAGGAAAAAAAGGUGCAGCCUACAUAGAAGAUGCUCACCAAUUACGACUUCUCUACAACAGAUACUUGCAAUGGAGGUUUGCCUCUGCAAAAGCUGAUGCUGUACUUUACAUCCAAAAUGCAAUUGUGGAGAAAACUCUAUAUAACGUAUGGAUUACUACUUCGUCCAUGUGGGAGUCUAUUGUUAGAAAAAGGAUCAAUCUUCAGCAGCUGAAGCUUGAACUUAAGCUGAAUUCUGUUUUAAAUGAUCAAGUAAUGUUUCUCCUUUUCCACAAUAUAUUAUUUACAUGCCAGCUUUUAUUGUUGAUUGUAUAAAUAUAGUUAUUUUUCCUUUUUAAUUUUUCCUUGUAGGAUAAUUGUACUUGAGAUAGUUUCUGAUCAGUUCAUUAGUGGCUACUUUACACAGCAGGAAAUGGGCCCUAGAUAUUGAGAAGUUAAUUUUCUUUUACUACUUUUUAGUUACAGGUUAUUCAUAUUAGUUUAUUUUAAGUGAUUCAAAAUUUUUAUGAAAUUGAAAUAGAAGCUUUUGAUUUGGGUUUUCAGCUUGGAGUUUUAGGAGGAGUAUAGAUAGAACAUGUGAAAUAGUUUUGGAGGGGAAAACAUUCUGAUCUAGACACUAGUAUUGUGUGAAAUCGUGAACAAAGUUGAGCUUCUAAUUUCAUUUGCUAUGGUCGAGUUUGGGAUGCUAUUUUCUCCUUCUUUAAUUGUUUCCAAUUUCAUGCAUUCUUAAAUGUUGGCCUUUUACAAUGACUGAAGCAGAUGAUCUACCUUGAUGAUUGGGCUGUACUUGAAAGAGAUCACAUUGAUGCUGUGUCUGGGGCUGUGGAAGACUUGGAGGCAAGCACUCUUCGUCUCCCUGUAACUGGAGGAGCAACGGCAGAUAUUGAGCAUUUGAAGGUCGCCAUCUGUCAAGCUGUUGAUGUCAUGCAAGCAAUGGGAUCUGCAAUCUGCUCAUUGCUCUUGCAGAUUGAGAGCAUGAACAAUUUAAUUUCUGAGGUUGCUGUCAAAGCAGCACAGGAAAAGACCAUGCUGGAUGAAUGUGAAAUGCUACUGGCUUCAGUAGCAGCGAUGCAGGUUGAGGAAAGUAGCCUUCGGACGCAUCUUGUGCAAAUCAAGCAAGUAACAAAUUCCGGAAAUUUAAACAACCACGAACCUGACCUGCUGCCAAGCCAACAAGUAAUAAAUUAUCUCUUGCGACUUCAGCCAUAGUAUCGGUAUCUAAUAUCUUUCAGGUUCUUUACCUUUGUAAAUUUUCGAAUAGUUUUUCUUUAACCGUUAAAUAUUCUGGAAUCGAUAUUGUUUUGUUACCCUUUGGUUAUUUUUUUUCUUCAUCCUUUUUGCCCCACAAUACUCGAGGCUAUAGGUUUCCACUUGUAAUUUUGUCUCAGGCAAAGGAAAAAAAAAA